rnacentral:snRNA from 1 species
GAUCUGGCUGUGACAUCUGUCACCCCAUUGAUCACCAGCGUUGAUUCAGCUGAUCUGGCUGGCUGGGUUGAUUCAGCUGAUC